CCGUCGAUAGCUCAGUUGGUAGAGCGGAGGACUGUAGAGCGUUAGCAGUUAUCCUUAGGUCGCUGGUUCAAAUCCGGCUCGACGGA
rnacentral:tRNA from 1 species